AGUCGAACGGCAGCGCGGGGCAACCUGGCGGCGAGUGGCGAACGGGUGAGUAAUAUAUCGGAACGUACCCUGGAGUGGGGGAUAACGUAGCGAAAGUUACGCUAAUACCGCAUACGAUCUAAGGAUGAAAGUGGGGGAUCGCAAGACCUCAUGCUCCUGGAGCGGCCGAUAUCUGAUUAGCUAGUUGGUGGGGUAAAGGCCUACCAAGGCAUCGAUCAGUAGCUGGUCUGAGAGGACGACCAGCCACACUGGGACUGAGACACGGCCCAGACUCCUACGGGAGGCAGCAGUGGGGAAUUUUGGACAAUGGGCGCAAGCCUGAUCCAGCAAUGCCGCGUGAGUGAAGAAGGCCUUCGGGUUGUAAAGCUCUUUUGUCAGGGAAGAAACGGUGGUUUCUAAUACAGAUCACUAAUGACGGUACCUGAAGAAUAAGCACCGGCUAACUACGUGCCAGCAGCCGCGGUAAU
rnacentral:rRNA from 1 species